rnacentral:rRNA from 1 species
UACGUAGGUGGCAAGCGUUGUCCGGAUUUAUUGGGUUUAAAGGGUGCGUAGGCGGCUUUUUAAGUCAGUGGUGAAAGCCGAUCGCUUAACGAUCGAACUGCCAUUGAUACUGAGAGGCUUGAGUAUAGUUGAGGUAGGCGGAAUUGACAGUGUAGCGGUUAAAUGCAUAGAUAUUGUCAAGAGCACCAAUUGCGAAGGCAGCUUACUAAAGUAUAACUGACGCUGAGGCACGAAAGUGCGGGUAUCAACCAGG